rnacentral:rRNA from 1 species
AUUGAACGCUGGCGGCAGGCUUAACACAUGCAAGUCGAGCGGGGAAAGGUAGCUUGCUACCUGACCUAGCGGCGGACGGGUGAGUAAUGCCUAGGAAUCUGCCUAUUAGUGGGGGACAACAUCUCGAAAGGGAUGCUAAUACCGCAUACGUCCUACGGGAGAAAGCAGGGGACCUUCGGGCCUUGCGCUAAUAGAUGAGCCUAAGUCGGAUUAGCUAGUUGGUGGGGUAAAGGCCUACCAAGGCGACGAUCUGUAGCGGGUCUGAGAGGAUGAUCCGCCACACUGGGACUGAGACACGGCCCAGACUCCUACGGGAGGCAGCAGUGGGGAAUAUUGGACAAUGGGGGGAACCCUGAUCCGGCCAUGCCGCGUGUGUGAAGAAGGCCUUUUGGUUGUAAAGCACUUUAAGCGAGGAGGAGGCUACCGAGAUUAAUACUCUUGGAUAGUGGACGUUACUCGCAGAAUAAGCACCGGCUAACUCUGUG